CCUACGGGCGGCAGCAGUGGGGAAUAUUGGACAAUGGGGGGAACCCUGAUCCAGCCAUGCCGCGUGUGUGAAGAAGGCCCUCGGGUUGUAAAGCACUUUCAGUGAGGAAGAACGCCUGGUGGUUAAUACCCAUCAGGAAAGACAUCACUCACAGAAGAAGCACCGGCUAACUCCGUGCCAGCAGCCGCGGUAAUACGGAGGGUGCGAGCGUUAAUCGGAAUUACUGGGCGUAAAGCGCGCGUAGGUGGCUUGAUAAGCCGGUUGUGAAAGCCCCGGGCUCAACCUGGGAACGGCAUCCGGAACUGUCAAGCUAGAGUGCAGGAGAGGAAGGUAGAAUUCCCGGUGUAGCGGUGAAAUGCGUAGAGAUCGGGAGGAAUACCAGUGGCGAAGGCGACCUUCUGGACUGACACUGACACUGAGGUGCGAAAGCGUGGGUAGCAAACAGGAUUAGAUACCCGAGUAGUC
rnacentral:rRNA from 1 species